rnacentral:rRNA from 1 species
GUAGAUAACACCACAGAUAGCACGGUCAUUGUACCGGUGACAUAUCCUUCAAAUGUCUGACUUAUCAGCUGUCGAUCGUAGACUCUUUGUCUACCAUGGCGCUCACGGGUGACGGGGAAUCAGGGUUCGAUUCCGGAGAGGGAGCCUGAGAAACGGCUACCACAUCCAAGGAAGGCAGCAGGCACGCAAAUUACCCACUCCCGGCACGGGGAGGUAGUGACAAAAAAUAACGAUACGGGACUCAUCCGAGGCCCCGUAAUCGGAAUGAGAACACCCUAAAUCCUUUAACGAGGAUCUAUUGGAGGGCAAGUCUGGUGCCAGCAGCCGCGGUAAUUCCAGCUCCAAUAGCGUAUAUUAAAGUUGUUGCGGUUAAAAAGCUCGUAGUUGGUUCUGCGUGCCACGCUGUCGGUUCACCGCCUGCCGGUGCAACUGGCAUGCCGUGGCAUGUCCUGUCGGUGGCGGAUAGGCUUCGCGGCGUGCCCCAUGGGGCUUAACGUCAUGUGGGUCGUCGCGCCGCGUUGUCCUUGUACGCCGGCUCAAUCCUACCGCGGUGCUCUUUACCGAGUGUCGAGGUAGGCCGACAAUGUUUACUUUGAACAAAUUAGAGUGCUUAAAGCAGGCUCUUGAAUCAGCCUGAAUAGUGGUGCAUGGAAUAAUGGAACAGGACCUUGGUUCUAUUUUGUUGGUUUUCGGAAUCCAAGGUAAUGAUCAAUAAGGACAGGCGGGGGCAUUCGUAUUGCGACGUUAGAGGUGAAAUUCUUGGAUCGUCGCAAGACGCACUAGAGCGAAA